UUGUCCCCUCCCCUCCAUCGGCGCGGCGGCCUGCUGGCGCCGCCCCUCUCCUUCCUAUUUCUGCAGAUGCCGCCCCACCUCGCAUGGCCGCCAUCCUCACGACCUCACCGCGACGAGGGUCCCUGCAGGCGCCGCCCCGCACCUACCCCGCCUCGGCGCGACUCCCUGCUGGCGCCGCCCCUCUCCUCCCUUGGCAUGGUUCCCUGCUGGCGCCGCCCCCACCCUCCCUCGGCGCGGCUCCCUGCUGGCGCGCCCCCGCCCUACCUCGCCGCGGCCCCUCACCUCUGCGCCGUUUUCCCAGACACCGUCGCCCUCCCCUACAGCAGGCCGCCCCUCUCCUCCAACACUGAGCUGCGUCGUCCUUCUUCCGGCCCAAGAUGGAUAAGAAGACCAAGGUUUCAUGAGUUGUAUGUGUUAUGAUUUUGUUGUGCUCUUCAAUGGUGGAAGCCAUUUGGAGAAAAAAUAGUUAUGUAAUCCCUACUUAUCACAAUCUAUGCGUGGCCUACACUCAUUACUGCGGAAACAUAUGAAGCUGUGGACAUUCCGACCGGUGUAGAGGCCGUCAUCAUACUGAAGGGUGACCGUCUCUCCAUCUACUAGUUCGUCGGUCUGCCGGUAUGAGAAGGGCAAUUCAUAGUUGCUCGUUACUCCCAUGCAGGUUAUUGUCAUCUUGGUCAUUGGUGGAACAUCAAUGAAGCGCUCUUCAGUCACCUUGAAGCUCUUCACAUUGCUUGCUCCCCAGCUAAUGGGCCCAUUAAAGAACAUCGGUGACACUGCAAUGAAACCAUACUGCAUGUACACGUUUUCAGAGAUGAUCAGGGUUGGAACUGGAGACUUGAAGUGCAGCUUGGAUUGCCAUGCCUUCAUCUCCAUCAAAGUGUAAUCCAAGGUGAGCUUCACGCGGGGCAUGACCGAUGAGGUAUUGUUGGUGACUGAUGCAGUAGCAAGAUUUAGGAGUUUCUCGCCAAAGAUUACGGCGUUCUCUGACCUUAGGAAGGCAGUAAUCUUCCGGGAGAGCACUGGCUCUUCAAUCUGCAACCUAGACCAGGGCUCAAGCCGGGUUCCUGUAGCAGAAAGGCCGUGCUCCAAGUUUGACAUUGUGAGCCUCUUGCAAUACUGAUUGCUUCCCAGGUUGAGAAGCCUAAAUGCUCCGCCAGUAUACCACGCUUGGAAUAAUGUGUUUGGGUCAUCGUUGUUGGUAUCACUAGAGUCUGCAAGUAUCCAGGGCCCUAAGUUGGUGCUAUCAGAGUUCCUCCAGAAACCGUCGAAAUGAUCAGAUUUUAUCCUCAUGGUGCCAUCUCUAUUUGGCGUGAUAGUGUGCAUCACAGUUGGAUCUUUGAUAUUCUCGGAUUCAAAGACCAGAACUGGGUUGUGUAGCGAUUGUGCACUGAGAAGGGCUUUGUCGGUCUCGUUUUCCCCAUUAGAAUUGGAGAGAAUGCCAAAAUAUUUCCCAAGCCGAGCAUGGUAAAACCUAUCAUAUUUACAAUAAUGACUAGUUAGUUGCAAAGAUUUCAUAACAAGAUCUACCAGAUUGUAGCAAAGGAGGGCAUGCUGCAAAUUCAGUAUCUUUGUCUUCAUUUGGUUUGAGCUGGAACAGUGUGCAUGACAACUCGGACAGGUCCUCCUCGGGCUUGUCGGCACUGCCAGCGAUCCACCAUUCAUCACCUUGCCGCUUCUCAGCGACCCAGUACUUGUUGUAGCCGCACCUGAUAUGAAAGAGCCCAUUGUGCUUGCACGAUUUCUCGACGAAGAACCUCGUGAGCGGGUUCUCAGCAUCGUCACCGGUCAGCUGAAGGACACGGCCGUCGGCCCCCUCGCCAUGGUUGGCACAGGACCUCAGGUACUUGGAGUUGCUUUUGGACCGGAAGGCAGCACAGAUGGGGAGUGAUGACAGCAUUAUGCUGUUGCUCAUCUUCGACUUGAUUUUUUUCUUUUGUACCGUGUGUGGUGUGUGCGUGUUGUGUUGAGUUUUGGUGCUUUGCUUUGCAGUGGAGCUAUCCUGGCUUCAAUUUAUCGAUCCAUGGGGAUACGGGAAGAUGCAUGGAAACAUGCGUUACAAAACACGUGGGACGGAUGGGUUGAUUUUUUUUUUUGAUCUAUCUGUAACCGUAGCAAGAUGGGAAUGCACACAGUUCACGUGCUGAGUGGUACGGUUAA